GUGCUCGCUUCAGUAGCACAUAUACUAACAUUGGAAUGAUACAGAGAAGAUUAGCAUGGCUCCUGCGCAAGGAUGACAUGCAAAUUCAUGAAGCGUUCCAUAAAAAA
rnacentral:snRNA from 1 species